GACGAACGCUGGCGGCGUGCUUAACACAUGCAAGUCGAACGGAAAGGCCCUGCUUUUGUGGGGUGCUCGAGUGGCGAACGGGUGAGUAACACGUGAGUAACCUGCCCUUGACUUUGGGAUAACUUCAGGAAACUGGGGCUAAUACCGGAUAGGAGCUCCUGCUGCAUGGUGGGGGUUGGAAAGUUUCGGCGGUUGGGGAUGGACUCGCGGCUUAUCAGCUUGUUGGUGGGGUAGUGGCUUACCAAGGCUUUGACGGGUAGCCGGCCUGAGAGGGUGACCGGCCACAUUGGGACUGAGAUACGGCCCAGCCUCCUCCGGGACGCAGCGGUGGGGAAUAUUGCACUAUGGGCGGAAGCCUGAUGCAGCAACGCCGCGUGCGGGAUGACGGCCUUCGGGUUGUAAACCGCUUUCGCCUGUGACGAAGCGUGAGUGACGGUAAUGGGUAAAGAAGCACCGGCUAACUACGUG
rnacentral:rRNA from 1 species